CAGUCGCCACGGGAAUACGUAGGUGGCAAGCGUUGUCCGGAAUUAUUGGGCGUAAAGGGCUCGCAGGCGGUUUCUUAAGUCUGACGUGAAAGCCCCCGGCUCAACCGGGGAGGGUCAUUGGAAACUGGGAAACUUGAGUGCAGAAAAGGAGAGUGGAAUUCCACGUGUAGCGGUGAAAUGCGUAGAGAUGUGGAGGAACACCAGUGGCGAAGGCGACUCUCUGGUCUGUAACUGACGCUGAGGAGCGAAAGCGUGGGGAGCGAACAGGAUUAGAUACCCCCGUAGUCCCUGUCUCUUAUAC
rnacentral:rRNA from 1 species